CUGAUAAUAUUGGAUCGAAAAUUACUUAUCGCCCGGCGUGUGUGUUUGAUCAAGAAGAAACAAAAUGUCAGCGUUAGGGACAACUGUUCCUCUGUACAUCGUGGAUGCAUUUACAGACAAACCAUUCCAUGGCAAUCCCGCAGCCAUAUGUCUGUUAAAACAAAAACUGUCGGACGAAGAGAUGCAGAGGAUAGCAGCCGAGAUGAAUCUGUCGGAAACAGCUUACAUUCAGGGAGUUGGCAGUAAGAACUGUGACUUCACGCAAGGGGACAGGUUUAGUUUGAGAUGGUUCACGCCGACCAAUGAGGUGCCUUUAUGCGGUCACGCGACCAUGGCUUCCGCUGCUGUCCUCUUCUUUGUCUGCGACAACCCGUCGUCAUGUGUAACGUUUGAGACGCUGAGUGGAGACUUGAUAGUCCAGAAACAGGGAAAGGGGAUCACGAUGAACUUCCCCCUCAACACUCCACAACCCGAGAAUUUCGACAAUGUUGAAGAACUCUUAAAGCUAGUUACCAAGAGGGAUACGAUCGACAGUGUUCAUUAUUCCAGCACCACCAAGAAACUGUUAGUGAGGCUCAAAGACACUUGUUCAAGGGAAGACUUGGAGAGUCUCAAACCAGAUAUUACGAAUUUCCAGAAUGUGGAAUCCUCAGGACGAAUCAGAGGUGUGAUAGUGACGGUGAAGGAAGGGAGUGAGAGCGCCAACGGGGACAAGAAACAGAAGACAUACGACUUCCUGUCCAGAUACUUCGCCCCGUGGAACGGCAUACCGGAAGAUCCGGUCACAGGAUCCGCUCACACCGUGCUGGCUGGCUACUGGACCGGAGUCUUGGGGAAGGACACAAUGCACGCUCGACAGUGUUCUAAACGAGGCGGUGACGUCACUGUGCAUAUCCGGGAUGAUGGGAGGGUCGACCUUACAGGAGAGGCAGCGGUCGUCCUUAGAGGGUCACUGACGAUGUAAUAGACGUUUCCCGAGGGGUUGGGGUGUUACUCGUGAUAUCCGGGCACGUUUCAGCAAAUGAUGACCGGAAUCAGCCGAGGCUAGCCGAAUGACUCCUGUGGUCAGUGAUCUAAGGGGACGUAAUCUCGGGGAUGCUGGUGAUCUGAGGGACUUUCACUGUAUGUGAGCGUAUGUGACUAAGGCCAAUUCCUCUAUUGUCAUAGAAACUUGAGAACUUGUCUCUCAGGUGUCACCGACAAUCUUGGGCACGGACCGUAGAGUACUCCUGUAUUGGGUGAUGAUGUUGUGCCUUACUUGUUGAUGGUCUACGGAGUAAUGUCCCCUACGAUUUUAUGCUGAUUCAGCAACUUAUCUCAAGGGAAUCUCAUAUAUGUUGCAUAUCAUUAUGUUGCAUAUUAUUGUCACUUGGCCGUACAGUAUUCUUAUUACACCAUAUUUUUAUUUCAUAUAAUACAUGUAAACUAACAUCGUAAACAUACACAUAAAAGUAAAAAGAUUUUUAUAUAUCAGCAUGUGUUAAUUUAGGGCUGAUAGCUCAACUGAUAUACAUGUAUGUUGAAUCAAUUAACUAGUCUUGUAUAUAGGGUUGUAGCAUUGUAUAUACAUACUGCUAUAUUUCAGAAAUUAA
rnacentral:misc_RNA from 1 species